rnacentral:rRNA from 1 species
GAUGAACGCUGGCGGCGUGCCUAAUACAUGCAAGUCGAGCGAACAGACGAGGAGCUUGCUCCUCUGACGUUAGCGGCGGACGGGUGAGUAACACGUGGAUAACCUACCUAUAAGACUGGGAUAACUUCGGGAAACCGGAGCUAAUACCGGAUAACAUGUUGAACCGCAUGGUUCAACAGUGAAAGACGGUCUUGCUGUCACUUAUAGAUGGAUCCGCGCCGCAUUAGCUAGUUGGUAAGGUAACGGCUUACCAAGGCAACGAUGCGUAGCCGACCUGAGAGGGUGAUCGGCCACACUGGACCUGAGACACGGUCCAGACUCCUACGGGAGGCAGCAGUAGGGAAUCUUCCGCAAUGGGCGAAAGCCUGACGGAGCAACGCCGCGUGAGUGAUGAAGGUCUUCGGAUCGUAAAACUCUGUUAUUAGGGAAGAACAAAUGUGUAAGUAACUAUGCACGUCUUGACGGUACCUAAUCAGAAAGCCACGGCUAACUACGUG